rnacentral:rRNA from 1 species
CGGAGCAUCGGUGACAGGUGGUGCAUGGUUGUCGUCAGCUCGUGUCGUGAGAUGUUGGGUUAAGUCCCGCAACGAGCGCAACCCCUAUUGUUAGUUGCCAUCAUUCAGUUGGGCACUCUAGCGAGACUGCCGGUAAUAAACCGGAGGAAGGUGGGGAUGACGUCAAAUCAUCAUGCCCCUUAUGACCUGGGCUACACACGUGCUACAAUGGCUGGUACAACGAGUCGCAAGUCGGUGACGGCAAGCUAAUCUCUUAAAGCCAGUCUCAGUUCGGAUUGUAGGCUGCAACUCGCCUACAUGAAGUCGGAAUCGCUAGUAAUCGCGGAUCAGCACGCCGCGGUGAAUACGUUCCCGGGCCUUGUACACACCGCCCGUCACACCACGAGAGUUUGUAACACCCGAAGUCGGUGAGGUAACCUUUUAGGAGCCAGCCGCCUAAGGUGGGAUAGAUGAUUGGGGUGAAGUCGUAACAAGGUAGCCGUAUCGGAAGGUGCGGCUGGAUCACCUCCUUU